rnacentral:lncRNA from 1 species
GGUGGACUCUGCUGGCACGGGCUUGGGCGAGGUGGCAGCUGCAGCUGUGGGUGGCUUUGUUCUUAGAAGCAGCUCUCAGGGCUGUGGUCCAGCCUGGCAGCAGUGUUCCGGGAAUAGGUGAGACAGGAGAGCUGCCCCCUGGUAGCAGUGCCCCCUUCCACCACGGCAAUGCUCUCUUUCUGUUGACAGCUGGAGAGCCUUGCUCCCUGGGGUCACCAGCCAGGCUCACUGCUUGGCAGGGUGGGUGUUGUGCUUGCAUGUGGCCUGCCUUCCAGAGGGGAGAGGCCCUGCAGGGUCUGGCGCUCCGGAGUUGGGCUGCUCACAGACCAAGCUGUCUGUUUGUAUGGAGUGCCUGGAGGGCGUCUGCCACGAGUCUGGUGCUAACCGUGCUAACCAGGAGAGCUGGCUGGUUGGGGAGAAGACACUAACCCUGAGCUGUUGGCCAGAGGAAGUGGCUGGGCCGUGGGAUGCAGAGAGCCACAGGCUGACUCCCGGACAGCGGAACAGAGAGUGCUGCCGACGGACAGACGGUAUGUUCGCAGUGAGGCCUGCGCCCCCCACUGGGCCCCCUCCUGGGGAGGCUGGCAG